AACGCACAUUGCGCCCGCUGGCACUCCAGCGGGCAUGCCUGUCCGAGCGUCAUACGCACCCCUCAGGCCCCAUCGGGGCCUGGCGUUGGAGCGCAUCCCACGGGAUGGCUCUGAAAUGCAGUGGCGGACCACCUGGGCGACCCGGGCGUAGUAUCAUACGCCGCCCUGGGACGAACGGGAGGUCCUGCCGUAAAGACCGCCGAGGGCCCUAGGGCCCGGAGCACUUAGCACUGGCCUCGGAUCAGGUAGGGAUACCCGCUGAACUUAA
rnacentral:misc_RNA from 1 species